CCCUUAGAUGUUCUGGGCCGCACGCGUGCUACACUGAGUGGAUCAGCGGGUCAGGUUGCGCGAAAGUGUUUCCUAAUCUUGAAAUCCGCUCGUGAUGGGGAUUGACGGUUGCAAUUUUCCGUCAUGAACGAGGAAUACCUUGUAAGCGCGGGUCAUCAUCCCGCGCUGAAUACGUCCCUGCCCUUUGUACACACCGCCCGUCGCUCCUACCGAUUGAGUGGUCCGGUGAGGCUUUGGGAUCUGAGCGGAAAGAGCGUUUCGCUCCUUUUGCUGGGAGAACUCAGUCGAACCUUAUCAUUUAGAGGAAGGAGAAGUCGUAACA
rnacentral:rRNA from 1 species